AUCACUAAGCGGAGGAAAAGAAACUAACAAGGAUUCCCUGAGUAACGGCGAGUGAAACGGGAAGAGCCCAGCACCGAAUCCCCCGGCCGUGUGGUUGGAGGGAACUGUGGUGUUUGGGAGUACCUCUGGGGCGGUUGGUGGGCGUUCGAGUCCUCCUGAUUGGGGCUUGACCCUGAGCGGGUGUAAGGCCUCUACAGCACCUGCCACCGUCUCUCUGGAGCUCCCUGGAGUCGGGUUGUUUGAGAUUGCAGCCCAAAGUGGGUGGUAAACUCCAUCUAAGGCUAAAUACAUGCACGAGUCCGAUAGCGAACAAGUACGGUGACGGAAAGUU
rnacentral:rRNA from 1 species